UCAUGCAUUAUUUGCAUUUGUUUUUAUUUUGGUGUUUAAUUAUUUCGAAGCUGAAAACAUUUUUUACUUAUUUUACUAUUAAUUAUUACAUAUAUAUCACGUUUCCAGAAAAUUGAUGGUUGGUGUUCGUGCCACGCUCGACAUGUCUCGACUUGUUGUUAUGCUCCCCUCUCUAAUUUCUAAUUCAAUAAUCGAAAUCGCGGCACGAGGUGUCAUUCUAUUAUCGAAAGUCGUGGCGAUUAGACGCUUUGUUUCAGAUUAGUAGCUGAUUACUGAUUUUUUCAAAGCGG